CAGUACUUUCAGUGCAGUAGAUGCUCUGCCGAGUCAUUGUAUGGACAAUCACAUUAUGUUUGCAAGAGAAUCGCUGGCUUGGUUUCGUGUGUGGGGCACAGGACUUAACAUCUCCUCUAUCUCGUCUUCAGGAGAGACCGUCGGGGAAGAGAUGAUGAGGUCCUUGUCCAGCCUUUCACAAAGCCAGUGCCAGCUUCUGAAGCCGAUCCUUCACCUCAACAACCUCCCGCCCGCGCAGCACGGAGUAAACUCUCCCUCCAAUAUGGGGCUUAAACUCACAGCCCUGAGAUCACGAGUCUUAUGCUCUACUGACUGAGCCAGCCAGACAUGUCUAUUUCCUUAUACUUUAAAAAAAAUUGUGGCCGGCGGAGCAAGAUGGCGGAGGAGCAGGAGACCUGGAUUUCGCCUGGUCCCAGGAAUUCAGCUGGAUAGGGAUCAAACCAUUCUGAACACCUACGAACUCAACAAGAGAUCGAAGAAAAGAAGAGCAACAACUCUCUCAUCAGAAAAGCGACCACUUUCUGGAAGGGCCUUGAAAAAGUGGGGAAUUCUGGACUUCUGUCUCUUCCCACUACGAAAAUGUACUGUAGGCUUAUGACCACAGUCUCAUCUUCAGAAAAGAAAGUCCGGUGAAGAGUAAAUCUGUUUCACAAAGUUCUCAUCAUGGUUAACCUGUUCACUGACAAUGAAUAUGAUCAUGAGAAUUAUGCUCUGUCUGGGAAAGACACCAUCAAUCAACCAAUUGUCACUAUCAUCGUCUCCCUGAAACCACCUGGAUGGCCCACCUCAGAGUCCACA